rnacentral:rRNA from 1 species
UACGGAGGGGGCUAGCGUUGUUCGGAAUUACUGGGCGUAGAGCGCACGUAGGCGGCUUUGCAAGUCCCAUGUGAAAUCCCACGGCUCAACCGUGGAAGUGCAUGGGAAACUGCAGAGCUUGAGUACUUAAGAGGAUCGCGGAAUUCCCGGUGUAGAGGUGAAAUUCGUAGAUAUGGGGAGGAACACCGGUGGCGAAGGCGGCCACCUGGACGGUAACUGACGCUGAGACGCGAAAGCGUGGGGAGCAAACAGG